CCUACGGGAGGCAGCAGUGGGGAAUAUUGGACAAUGGGGGCAACCCUGAUCCAGCCAUGCCGCGUGUGUGAAGAAGGCCCUCGGGUUGUAAAGCACUUUCAGUGAGGAAGAACGCCUGGUGGUUAAUACCCAUCAGGAAAGACAUCACUCACAGAAGAAGCACCGGCUAACUCCGUGCCAGCAGCCGCGGUAAUACGGAGGGUGCGAGCGUUAAUCGGAAUUACUGGGCGUAAAGCGCGCGUAGGUGGCUUGAUAAGCCGGUUGUGAAAGCCCCGGGCUCAACCUGGGAACGGCAUCCGGAACUGUCAAGCUAGAGUGCAGGAGAGGAAGGUAGAAUUCCCGGUGUAGCGGUGAAAUGCGUAGAGAUCGGGAGGAAUACCAGUGGCGAAGGCGGCCUUCUGGACUGACACUGACACUGAGGUGCGAAAGCGUGGGUAGCAAACAGGAUUAGAUAUCCUAGUAGUC
rnacentral:rRNA from 1 species